UGUAACUGAUUACAUGGAGGUAGGGUCUUCUUAGGGGAAGACAUAACCCGUUAUCUCUCUUAUUUUCCUGUGGUAAGUCUCAGUGACUAGCGUGGUUUUAGCAACGCAAAGUUAAGCAAAGCGACAACUACAAAGCGGAAAGCCAAAACGGAAAGACAACAUGUCAACUAUCCGCCAUCUUGUGUGUUAUCGUUCGGAAUAUGGUCGCGUAAGACACAGCCAUCACAGCAAGGCACAUCAAGCCCCAACAUGCGAACACGCUUUCUCCUAAAAUUAGGUCCAAAAAAGCCAGACCAAUCAGAACUCCACUCAGAAACCAUGUGACCACACUGCUGAUGUAAUACAUCCGGGGAUGUAUCUGUCGAUGACGUAAUGGCCAGACAGUGGCGAACAUUCGAUCAAGAGAAAUGAGCAUCAGGGUUGUCAAGUGGGCGGAGGUCAAAAACCCGAUCAUGACAACGAUCUUCUCCGUUUGGUCUCCGAGGAGAUAACUUCGUGGGACCUCGGGCGACGAGAGCGGUAGGAUGACCUUCCUAAGAUACUCGGCAAACAUAGGCGCAAGGACAGAGCCGAAAAGGAAGUUCGAUAUAGCCAGGUUAAGGAUGAAGUAAGUGUUUCGUUUGCGAAGAUGCUCAUUAAUGAUGAAGGCCAGAAUAAUAAGGGCAUUUGUGGUGGCAGCGGCGAUGCAGAUGAUGUAGGUUGCGGCGUACGUAAAGAUUUGGAAGCUUUUAGGGGGCAGGUAGUAAACGUCAGUUUGGUUCAUGGUGCGUCCGGUUUAACGAGGUAUAUAACAACGCUUUGUUUCACGCAAGGACUGUUUGGAAUAUCCAGGUUGCUAUGAAGUUGGGCGAAACACUUGCUUGAUUAAACAAGGUGGAUUACGACAGUGACGAAUGAUUUUAGACAAUAGUUGUCCAGGAUAUUCAGGUCCCUUGAAGGUAAAUGUCGCCUGGUUAAGCGAGGUGGAUAACGAAAUAAAUGUCUGCCUCGAUUCACGUCGCUGGUGACCGACAGAAGCUCCUGAUAAUUUCUCUUGUAAAAAUGUACUCAGUAAGAACCUAGAAAAUUAUUGGCAAUGUUGAUACUAAGUUGAUACUGAAGACGAUUAAGGUGCCUCUAUGGCAACUCUAUCUACAAAGAGACGGGGAAUCUAUGUUGCUUGCUAUCCUAAUGACCAUAUUAAAAACUGUUCUUUGUG